AGCGAACGCUGGCGGCAGGCCUAACACAUGCAAGUCGAACGAACCCUUCGGGGCUAGUAGCGGACGGGUGAGUAACACGUGGGAACGUGCCUUUAGGUUCGGAAUAACCCAGGGAAACUUGUGCAAAUACCGAAUGUGCCCUCCGUGGGCAAGAUUUAUUGCCUUUAGAGCGGCCAGCGUCUGAUUAGCUAGUUGGUGAAGUAAACGCUCACCAAGGCUACGAUCAGUAGCUGGUCUGAGAGGAUGACCAGCCACAUUGGGACUGAGACACGGCCCAAACUCCUACGGGAGGCAGCAGUGGGGAAUCUUGCGCAAUGGGCGAAAGCCUGACGCAGCCAUGCCGCGUGGAUGAUGAAGGUCUUAGGAUUGUAAAAUCCUUUCACCGGUGAAGAUAAUGACUGUAGCCGGAGAAGAAGCCCCGGCUAACUUCGUGCCAGCCGCCGCAGUAACAC
rnacentral:rRNA from 1 species